rnacentral:rRNA from 1 species
UACGGGGGGGGCAAGCGUUGUUCGGAAUUACUGGGCGUAAAGGGCUCGUAGGCGGCCAACUAAGUCAGACGUGAAAUCCCUCGGCUUAACCGGGGAACUGCGUCUGAUACUGGAUGGCUUGAGAUUGGGAGAGGGAUGCGGAAUUCCAGGUGUAGCGGUGAAAUGCGUAGAUAUCAGGAGGAACACCUGCGGUGUAGACAGCUUACUGGACCACGACUGACGCUGAGACACGAAAGCGUGGGUAGCAAACAGG